rnacentral:rRNA from 1 species
UACGGAGGAUCCGAGCGUUAUCCGGAUUUAUUGGGUUUAAAGGGUGCGUAGGCGGGAUAGUAAGUCAGUGGUGAAAGCCCGCAGCUCAACUGCGGAACUGCCAUUGAUACUGCUAACCUUGAGUAUGUAUGAUGUGGGCGGAAUGUGCAGUGUAGCGGUGAAAUGCUUAGAUAUUGCACAGAACACCGAUUGCGAAGGCAGCUCACAAAACCAUAACUGACGCUGAGGCACGAAAGCCAGGGGAGCAAACGGG